CCUACGGGGCGCAGCAGUGAGGAAUAUUGGUCAAUGGGCGCGAGCCUGAACCAGCCAAGUCGCGUGAAGGAUGACUGCCCUACGGGUUGUAACCUUCUUUUAUAAAGGCAUAAAGUGAGGCACGUGCGCCUUUUUGUAUGUACUUUAUGAAUAAGGAUCGGCUAACUCCGUGCCAGCAGCCGCGGUAAUACGGAGGAACCGAGCGUUAUCCGGAUUUAUUGGGGUUAAAGGGAGCGUAGGUGGGUUGUUAAGUCAGUUGUGAAAGUUUGCGGCUCAACCGUAAAAUUGCAAUUGAUACUGGCAGUCUUGAGUACAGUUGAGGUAGGCGGAAUUCGUGGUGUAGCGGUGAAAUGCGUAGAUAUCACGAAGAACUCCGAUUGCGAAGGCAGCUUACUAAGCUGCCACUGACAUUGAUGCUCGAAAGUGUGGGUAUCAAACAGGAUUAGAUACCCUUGUAGUC
rnacentral:rRNA from 1 species